GAUGAACGCUAGCUACAGGCUUAACACAUGCAAGUUGAGGGGGCAUCGGGAAAGCAGCUUGCUGCUUUGCCGGCGACCGGCGGAUGGGUGAGUAACGCGUACCCAACCUGCCCCCUUCCCGGGCACAGCCCUUGGAAAACGAGGAUUAACGCCCGAUGGCGUCGGAUUUCCGCAUGGUUUCCGACCAAAUGCGAAGGAAGGGGAUGGGGGUGCGUCCCAUUAGCUAGUUGGCGGGGUAACGGCCCACCAAGGCGUCGAUGGGUAGGGGUUCUGAGAGGAAGGUCCCCCACACUGGAACUGAGACACGGUCCAGACUCCUACGGGAGGCAGCAGUGAGGAAUAUUGGUCAAUGGAGGCAACUCUGAACCAGCCAAGUAGCGUGAGGGAUGACUGCCCUACGGGUUGUAAACCUCUUUUGUCGGGGAAUAAACAGCGCCACGCGUGGCGCCCUGCAUGUACCCGCAGAAUAAGGACCGGCUAAUUCCGUG
rnacentral:rRNA from 1 species